GGCAAGGUGGUGGCCUGGGCUCUCCUCCCAGGAGCCACCCUGCUCUCAGGGGUCCUAACAGCUUGGUCUUCCAGGCUUUGAGGGCCGUGGGUGUCUGUGUGCAAAUGAGCUGCUGUCUUCUGGGAGGAAGCAGUCUCUCUGUGGAAAGAGGCUUGGAGUUUAGCAUGGUGCCUGGCACAGGGCACAACCUCAUCGAAGGAAGGGUGCAGAGGAAAGAGGAAAUGACCCACACGCGUAUUCACACUCCAGGGGCGAGCGCACAGCCUUUUGCAGGAAUAAUAUAAGAAGAGCCCAACUUCAUUAAUUUGGAAUUUGCAAUAAUACAGACACUGCAAUCUUGAGCCCAAGCUUUAUAAUAACAAUACCACCUGCGUUUGAAUUCAAGGGAAAUGAAAACACAUCAGUGCAAAGACCUGCACCCAAGGCAGCAACCUUCAAAGUCGUGGAGAAGUGGAAGCCACUCAAAUGUCAUCAGCUGGUGAAUGGAUGAACAAAACGUGGCAUAUCGACAUAGGUGGUUAUUUGGCAAUAAAAAGGAAUGAGGUUCUA